UACGUAGGGGGCAAGCGUUGUCCGGAAUCAUUGGGCGUAAAGAGCGUGUAGGCGGCUCGGUAAGUCCGCUCUGAAAGCCCGGGGCUCAACCCCGGGAGGCGGGCGGAUACUGUCGGGCUAGAGUCCGGAAGAGGCGAGUGGAAUUCCUGGUGUAGCGGUGAAAUGCGCAGAUAUCAGGAGGAACACCAAUGGCGAAGGCAGCUCGCUGGGACGGUACUGACGCUGAGACGCGAAAGCGUGGG
rnacentral:rRNA from 1 species